GAUGAAGAACGUAGCGAAAUGCGAUAAGUAGUGUGAAUUGCAGAAUUCAGUGAAUCAUCGAAUCUUUGAACGCACAUUGCGCCCCUUGGUAUUCCAUGGGGCAUGCCUGUUCGAGCGUCAUUUGUACCUUCAAGCUUUGCUUGGUGUUGGGUGUUUGUCCCGAGGGACUCGCCUUAAAGUAAUUGGCAGCCAGUGUUUGGUUUUGAAGCGCAGCACAAGUCGCGAUUCAAGGCUACACGCCCGCUUCCACAAGCCUUUUUUCACUUUUGACCUCGGAUCAGGUAGGGAUACCCGCUGAACUUAAGCAUAUCAUAAGCGGAGGA
rnacentral:misc_RNA from 1 species